rnacentral:tRNA from 1 species
GGGAGUGGUUGGGAAGCUGGUGCUCCCCGCGGCCUUCAAAGCCGAUUGGCCCGUUAUCUUAGCGGGCGGAAGGUUCGAUCCCUUCCCACUCCCGCCA